GGGAUUUCGGGCUCCAGCAGCACGCAGCCUCCAGUCUUGAGUGACUCCUGGGCUUUGGCUCAGCAGUAACUCCUCCAUAAAAACAAGUGUGUGCAUCUGGCUGUUAGAAGAAUUCAUGCUCAUCCGGGAAAAAUGAGGAAGCUGUGAGUACCAGUGGAAGGAACGAGCCAGGAAGAGGGACUGGAACCAUCUCAGAAGCCAUGCCCCUCAGGCUGGAACUUGCCCUGUCUCCUCGCAGAUGAGGUAGGAGGCUCAGCACGGGCUGGUGGGAGCAGCCCACAGCAGCAGUGAGGGUCAGUGGGCCUGUGAGUUAAGAAGAAGGUGGCACAGAGCGAGGGUCUCUGGAUCCUGACUGUUUGACUUUUCCAUGAUUAGGAUAAGUAGCCAGGGCUUGGCUAGUUGGAGAGUUACUCGAACCUCAGGUGACAGUUGUAAGGCAGCACAUAGUGAAAAAGAGUCCUAGCCUGGGAAAGUCCAAAACCUUAGGUCUGGUUUCAGUUCACUCACCUAUCUCUGUGACAUAGCAAAGUCUGUUAAUUUCUCUAAUUUUCUGAUUAGUAGUAUAGUUGCAGGAAUGAAAUAAAAAUGGUCCUGAUUACUCAGAGAUUCAUUUACUGAUUACUCUUUUUGUGACCUGAAUAAAGAGUACAACAUCUCUCAAAAGGUAACAAUAUGAUGUUUCAGGAAAUUAGAGAAGUUAAGAGACUUUGCUGUAUUUACUAUACAGAUAGUUGACUGACAGCUGAGCCCGGACCCAAGAUUCAUUUAUAAAAUGAAGGAGUUGAGAAGUACAUACUCUGAGGUUUAUCCUAAAUAAACUGAAGUCUAGGCAAGUGGCUGAGCUAGGUUUGCCAUGAAUCAAUCUGCUGAGUAUAUUUCUUGGUAACUAGUUCAUCUUUCCUUAAUUCAGUCAACAAAUAUGAUAUCAAGUUUAGUAAGAUGAUGACAGUUGUCAUGUAAUACUCCAUCUGGAAGAUUGUAUGCUUCUCAGCUUCCCUAACUUUUCUUAAUCUACCUUAAGCUUCCUUUCUGAAAGGUUUCUGUCUUUCCUAACAGUCUCUUCUUUCCGCCAGCUACCUCUUGUGUUUAAGAAUUAAAGGAAGAUGAGCUAGGAAUCAAGAAAUACGCAGAACUGAUUCCUGUCACUGGCGCCACCCUGCCACUUGCCCAGAGCUGUGGUAUAAAUUUUUUUAAUAGGCUGAAAUAAAAAUAUGAAUAGCAUUUUGGUAUUAAGCAUUAAAUUGAUAAAGGCUAUGAGAUACACCUGCUCUCAACCAUGUUAAUUUUUUAUUAUUGGUAUUAAUAAAUUAUUACUUACUAACAUAUUAACAAGAAUUGCAUUGAGAAACAAAGCAUCCACAGGCCAAAUCUUCUGAAUUUCAAAUGUUUAUAUUAAUGCGUUGUAUUCUAGAAAAGUAGAAUUGUCUUAAGUAGCUUUGUAAUAUAAAGUCAUCUAUCAGCCCAUUACACCUAUUAGAAUGUUUUAACCUUUAUUUCCCACUUUUUUGUUUCUAGACUGAGUGUACUUGGUCUGGUAUUUGUGGCAUAACUUACGGAACACAUAAGAAUGAUACAGAUACUAUUUAAUGAUGACCUAAUACAAGCUUAGAUAGCUAAGGUGAAAGCUUCUAUGGCCUUAACAUUUUCCUCUUGAAGAAUGUAUUUUCUGUAAUAAAAUACAGUGGCUACUUGAAAUCUAUAAACUUAUGUGAGGUCUGGAUAAAUCUGAGCAACUUUCUUCUUUGUGCUCCAGGAACCUACGCACUAUAUAUAUAAAUAAAGCUUAAGUAAACAUCACUGCAAUCUGUGUUUUGUUUGAUUAUAUUACGUAUUGCCUGAUCUUUAAAUAAUGAUGAAAAAUAGCCUUUAACAUAAACCAUGAAUGGAUAUGCACUUGAGGGAAACAGUUUCUUGGAUAAUUAAACUUUAAUUUCUCACCGUGGAUUCCUUGGAUCUUGUAAUAUUUUUUAAAACAGUCCUGGGGAUUUAUUUUUAAGGCGUCCAAAUGAAUUAUUAGUUCUCAAAAGCCAUAGUAUAUUCAUGGGUCGAUAUAUCCUCAAAACACUAUUUUUAAACUGCUUAGUUUAUUUUUCUUAGCGUGCUCAUCUGCUGCAUAAUUUUCUUUGCUAUGUAUGGGUCACAUGCUUCCUCCCGUCCAUAACUCACGCACUUAAAAUUCUCACUUCCUGAUUGAGCCAUCAGAUUACGUAAAAUGUAAAUCAGCCUGAAUACCUAGGAGCAGGAAUUUUAAGGGAGAAAAUGCCGUUUUCUUUUUCUGUGUCAUUAUUAACCCUUAAAUAUCAGAGUGAGUGUCUGCUCACCUAUUUGUAUUUGGAAACGAGAUACUGUUAGGGGUUUUUCUUGGCCCUUCCCUUUCAGAUUGAAUCAGACUUUGCUGCUUUCCUUAUACAAAAUAAUGUACCAACUAGAUAGACGGUGGGAGUGGUAUCGUUGCAGGAAUGAAACCAAAAGGGUUCCGAUGAUUGAGAGAGAUUCAUUUAUUUUUUAACUCUUCUCAUGAUCUGAAUGAAGAGUACAGCAUCUAUCAAAAGGUAACAACCUAAUAUUUCAGAAUUGCAAGUGGCCAUUUAGCCUUUCUGCUGCCUGAUAUAAAUGAAAGUAAUUCCUAGCAGGCAGGAUGACACUUGUUUUAUCACGAAUCUGACAAUCCAGCACAUUUUCUCAAGCAAUUUUGAAGUUGUCGUAGUAACAGCAUGGCAUUUGGAGGGUCUUUUUAGUAGUUCUUUAGCUAGAGUUAAUUAAUUGUAUUAACUCUGGAUGUUUUUCUUUUUACUCCUCUUUGACAAACAAGGGCUAUAAUUGCUCAAAUAUGUAUUUUGUGUUCUAUAUUUUUUGGUGACUAUAGUUUAAGGACGUGAUGUUUUUAAGUGGUUUCAGUAAAAGGUUAUCAGUUGAUUUCAGACACAUUAAACUUGGGUUUUUAAUUUCUCUGUAAAAUUCCACUAUCAUUGUAGGACCAGGAUUUAGUUUUAUUUAAGAAGUGAAUCUGGGGAGAUAUUUGCACAAAUUGAAUUGUGGCUUGCUUCCAGUGGUUGCAACUAUCCGUUGCUUUGAUUUUGGUGUAUUUAGAAAAAGAACUGGGGAAUGCAGAAAGGGAAAUGUGUCAGGCUUACAGGAGAAAAUUGUUUCUUUAGAAAUGCAACAGGCAGGCACACCACCAAAAGCAUGUUCCAUAAAAGAAAACAAAUAAAUUUGAUUUUGUGAAACUUAAGAAUGCAGUGCUCUUUGAAACUCUAAAAUAUACUUAAAUAAAUUCUCCCCUAGGAAGAUUUGUGGGAACUUUUUAUUGGUGGAAAGUAGGUUGGAACUUCUAGUAUUAAUAGUAAAACUCUGUGGCAGAAAUUCUUGCCAAUAUGGCGGUUGGUGAGAAAGGAAUCCCGUUUCUUGGGCAGGGAGAGGGUCAGAAGAAAGAAUUGUCUGUACUCAGUCUGGAUGCCGGGACUUAAAAAGUAUCAGAUAUACAAUGCUUUUGUUUUCUUGUAUAAGUGAACAGAGAGAUGUGACACUUCUAAAAGGUCUUGUGAGUUUUGUGGGUUUAAUGCUAAUGCCACUAUCCUUACUGUUCUGUGAGUAUUUGUUCAGCCACGGGUGAUUCAAGAGAGUUGGGGUAUCAGCAUGUGCAGCCAACAGCAGUCCAGGUGCUAAUGCACCACCGGUGAUGUCAGGAGUUACGAGACAGCGGUUUCCAAACACUGCAGUAAACAAGGUCAAAGUGUCCCGUUUCGCUGGAAGAAGUUUUGUUUUUAUGAGCUGGACAGUACAUGGAUGAAAAGAAAUGAAAAUAACUUCUGAUGUAGGGUUUCUUAAAUGCAGUUUGAGAGAGCAAGAUAGGAACCAGUACUUUCAAAAUAUGGCAAGUGCAAGUCACAAUCCCUAGUAAGAUAUUCCUUCUCAUUUUGUGCCUUUGACUCUUAUUUAGACAGACGUUUAAGUACGAGAAAGCUAAUGGCGCAGAUUCUGCUGACUGUGUGGCUCUCGUCUUAAUGCGUUUUCCAACCUUGAACCUGAGAAUGCCAGAGGAUUGAGUCUCUGGACGUUCAUCUGAGCAGAUAUCUGCUGGCCGCCUGGUUCCUGAGCUAACAAGUGGGUGUCCCGGGCUUGUGUGUGUAGUCACAACAGUGGAGGUGCCACGUGGCACCCAGAGGUCGACUGGGGCUACCGCGGGGCUUCCCGAUCCUCACAAGUGUGUCUUCAGUGUCUGACAUGAACUGGGAACUUGGGGCAUCUUUAGAAGCACAGACAUUUGGAGUUCCACGGCAAACCUGGAUGUAAGCACUCACACAGCUUUUAAAGUGAAAGCAGGGACCUUGAGGAAGGAAUCGCCGUCAUCUCAUUGCCGACCUGCUUACUGUGCUGGGAAACAAAGUAAGUUCUGUUUGUUUCUUUGUUAGUCUCUCCUGCGUGUUUUUUCUUGCUAAUGUUAUUAGACACUCAAUAUCCGGCAAAUGCCAAGUUUUUUCCCCUUCAUUGGGAAGUAGGAUAUAGUUUAUUCAAUAGCUGAUUGCUUCUUUUAUCUUUUCCCUCUUCCCAUAUCUAGUGUGCCGGCUUGCUGUUUAGAGAUAGGAAGAGAUUGAAAUUUAUUAUCAAGGAGAAAACAAAAAGUGUUUUGUUUUGUUUCUAAAUGGUCCAAGAACUUUGCCAUUAGGUAAAUGACUAUGACACAGACAAGGCGUUUUGCAUGGUAUGACCAGGAGCACCUCUAGCAAAACAGCCCCAGUUCGCCGCCCUGAUUUCCAUUUGGAAGCAGGCACAGUGGGUUUCCCCAGGACCGAUGUUAACGCAGAGGGUCCUUGUGCAGGAAUUGUGCAGAAACUAGGUGGGAAGGUGUCACAGACAAGAGGCUGCAAUUUAAAAACGCAUCAGGAAAUGGAAAAGAGCUGCGAGAAUAUCAAUUAUUUAAUGAUGUUGAUAAAAACAAAUUUAAUAUAAAAAUGAGAUACAAUGUAUAGAGACCUAACCCUGUCAACAGCAACUAAACUUUACUUUCAUGUUAGAAAGUUUUGUGCCAUGUAGAUUUAUGGAAAAUGUGCUUAAUUGCCUCUAGAAAAUAAUGAAGAGGCUUCGUCACCUCCAUAGAAGAUCCUGUGACACUAGCCUAAUUCUGACACAUGGCUCCUGUUUUCCAUUUUGUUUGUUUUUUUAUGCUGAUCCUCUCUCCAGAGAUGUGAUGUGGAUUGAUUAACUUGUAAUAUAAAGUUCUAUGGUUUCUGAAAAUGCAGAGCAAAUAGAGAUGAAGAGUGGUUUGUGAUUUGUUAUUAAAUGAUCUUCCCUUCUACAUUUAGGACUGAUUUUUACUGUAGAAUUUUUUUUUUUUUUUUUUUUUUUUUUUUUUGUCAACUUGAACAGCAAUACCUUGAAGGUAAAAGGUGGGAGCACGACUGGAGUGUGGAACUGGAAAGCAGAAACCAGGGGUGUUACUUCUAUGUCUAGUAUGGAAUGUUGUGAAUUUAAGUUAGAGCUUCUGUGUCCUGGGAAUUCAUAUUUUAUCUCAAAGUGGUGCUGAUAGGACUGGAGGUAGCUGUAUUUCAUUUGAAACAUUCCAGCCUCUUUAUAGGAAUAUCUGUGAAUUUUUAAUUCAGCAAACAUCUUUAAGUGUGUCAUUUAUGUAUAGCGUUGUAGUCAGAGCUGUAAUUGUUUCACCAUUAAAUUUACGGAAAUUCAGUUUGUAAGUGAAAAAUUAAGAACAGUUUGAAAGAAGGGCGAAUGAGCAGAGCAUUGCCAUCUAAACAGUCUUGUUAAAGAUAGUGCCAAGUGAGCAGGACUGUCCCUUCUAAGCUGCCCCUCCUAAUUAAAGGGAAAGGUGGCUGCCAUCUGUCUUCUU
rnacentral:lncRNA from 1 species